rnacentral:rRNA from 1 species
CCUACGGGAGGCAGCAGUGGGGAAUAUUGCACAAUGGGCGCAAGCCUGAUGCAGCCAUUCCGGGUGUGUGAAGAAGGCCUUCGGGUUGUAAACCACUUUCAGUCAGGAGGAAAGGUUAGUAGUUAAUACCUGCUAUCUUAACGUUACGACAGAAGAAGCCCCGGCUAACUCCGUGCCAGCAGCCGCGGGAAUCCGGAGGGUGCGAGCGUUAAUCGGAAUUUCUGGGCGUAAAGCGUGCGCGGGCGGUUUGUUAAUCGAGAUGUGAAAGCCCCGGGUUCAACCUGGGAACUGCUUUUCGAACUGCCAAAGUAGAGUGUGACAGAGGGUGGUAGAAUUUCAAGUGCAGCGCGGAAAGCGGUAGAGAUUUGAAGAGUUCAGUUGGCGAAGGCAGCCCCGGUUUCAACAUGGCUUUUCAUGUGCGAAAG